UACGUAGGGGGCUAGCGUUGUCCGGAAUCAUUGGGCGUAAAGAGCGUGUAGGCGGUCCGGUAAGUCCGCUGUGAAAGUCGGGGGCUCAACCCUCGAAUGCCGGUGGAUACUGUCGGGCUAGAGUGCGGAAGAGGCGAGUGGAAUUCCUGGUGUAGAGGUGAAAUUCGUAGAUAUUGGGAAGAACACCAGUGGCGAAGGCGGCUAACUGGUCCAGAUCUGACGCUGAGGUGCGAAAGCGUGGGGAGCAAACAGG
rnacentral:rRNA from 1 species